AGUGAACGCUGGCGGUAGGCCUAACACAUGCAAGUCGAACGGCAGCACAGUAAGAGCUUGCUCUUACGGGUGGCGAGUGGCGGACGGGUGAGGAAUACAUCGGAAUCUACUUUUUCGUGGGGGAUAACGUAGGGAAACUUACGCUAAUACCGCAUACGACCUACGGGUGAAAGCAGGGGAUCUUCGGACUUUGCGCGAUUGAAUGAGCCGAUGUCGGAUUAGCUAGUUGGCGGGGUAAAGGCCCACCAAGGCGACGAUCCGUAGCUGGUCUGAGAGGAUGAUCGGCCACACGGGAACUGAGACACGGUCCAGACUCCUACGGGAGGCAGCAGUGGGGAAUAUUGGACAGUGGGCGCAAGCCUGAUCCAGCCAUACCGCGUGGGUGAAGAAGGCCUUCGGGUUGUAAAGCCCUUUUGUUGGGAAAGAAAAGCAGCAGGUUAAUACCCCGCUGUUCGGACGGUACCCAAAGAAUAAGCACCGGCUAACAUCGU
rnacentral:rRNA from 1 species